rnacentral:rRNA from 1 species
UACGUAGGGUGCAAGCGUUGUCCGGAAUUAUUGGGCGUAAAGAGCUCGUAGGCGGUUUGUUGCGUCGGCUGUGAAAUCCCGAGGCUCAACCUCGGGUCUGCGAGUCGAUACGAGCAAACUAGAGUGUUGCAGGGGAGACUGGAAUUCCUGGUGUAGCGGUGAAAUGCGCAGAUAUCAGGAGGAACACCGGUGGCGAAGGCGGGUCUCUGGGCAACAACGUGAUGCUGGAGGAGCGAAAGCGUGGGGAGCGAACAGG